rnacentral:rRNA from 1 species
UACGGAGGGGGCUAGCGUUGUUCGGAAUUACUGGGCGUAAAGCGCACGUAGGCGGCUUUGCAAGUUAGAGGUGAAAGCCCAGGGCUCAACCCUGGAAUUGCCUUUAAGACUGCAUCGCUUGAACACGGGAGAGGUGAGUGGAAUUCCGAGUGUAGAGGUGAAAUUCGUAGAUAUUCGGAAGAACACCAGUGGCGAAGGCGGCUCACUGGACCGUUGUUGACGCUGAGGUGCGAAAGCGUGGGGAGCAAACAGG